ACACACACUUAUAUACAUACAUAUAUAUAAUGUGUAAAAUAGCAGAUUUGGGUGUCAGGUGUAAGUUAAUCUCAGCUUCCUGUCUGAGAAAUGAGAAGAAGUGAAGGAAGGAGAAAAUGAAUUCUCUGUUCCUAACGUUCUCGGUGGUAAUUCAAGCGUUCGAAUGGAAGUGACGCGAGGUUAUUGAAAUAAAAGUAUUUCCGGGCGAUUCGAAGAGGUGAAUGGAAUAUAAUACGGUUCCCUGUGCUGCAGGUGGGAUUCGGACGUGAGGAGAGUGACGUGGAGGUGAAGACGCAGGCAGUCCUCGUCCCUGGAUAUGUUCCACAUCUCAUCCCACUCUCCCCCUCUCGGACGAGCGCUGCCCCGGUGCAUCACGUGACCCGUGAACCCUCUGGCUUGCACCAGCUGUGAAGUGAUGUCAUUCGGUGCCUGAUUGUUUUGGUACGAGGCGUUCAGGUCAGACGUAGUCAAACCGACCGCGGUGUCUCCGGGGACGCCGGGAAUACUGCGAUGAGGUCACUGUCCCCUGACGCUGGAGGGGAAAAUUUUUUAUCGUCGUCACACUAGGAGUGUGAAACUCGGUGACUGCGAAACCGAUUUCUAUUUAUUAUUAAAAAAUGUAAAAAUGAAAAAAAAAAAAAAUUCUAAAGUAUAAAAAUUCUAAAAUGUAUAUGUGAUGAGUCUUCAGAGGAAGAGCUCUUUACCAAAACAUCCUCUGCAUAUUGCACUGUAACCUCUCUAAUAAGCUACGAACAAGUCAGGACUUUCUUUCUUUCCUCCUUUCUUUCAUUUAACUAGUUUCUAUCUAUCUAUCUAUCUAUCUAUCUAUCUAUCUAUCUUCAAUUUAGGUCAUUUCUUUCUUUAAAAUUUUACUGUCUUCUUUUUUUCUGUUUUCUUCUCUUUCUUUCUUGUUCCUGUUAUAUUUUUUUCCCUCUUCUUUCAUUCAUCCUUUCUUCUCAUCAUCUACCUUUUUCAGUUUAGGCAAUUUCUUUAUUUAUUCUCUUUUCUUUCUCCUUUUGUUUUCUCCUUCAUAUUGUUUCUUCUUUCUUUCUUUACAACGAGUUCAUUCUUUCUUGUUCCUUUUCUGUUUGGUUUUUUUCCCCCCCUCAUUCAUAUUUUUUCCUCUUCUUUCACUCAUACUUUCUUCCUUUACUCUAUCUACCUUUUUCAGCAUAGGCCAUUUAUUUAUUUAUUCUCUUUUUUUUCUUUAUUCUCCUU
ensembl:lncRNA